UGCAGACGCCACGAGUCGAAUGGUUUGUCUCCAAAGGGCAGCGCCUCCCCAUUGGUCAGCCGCCCCCUGACGUCACAGGCGCACCGCUUCCAGUGGCGUGUGCGCCGCUGGCGGAGUUCUUCGCCUACCUUAAGCAACUACAAUCUAAGCCCGGAGCUGCAACCUGGGGGCCGCCCGGAGCUCAAGGGGAGCAGCGGCGGAGGGAGGCGCCCGCUAGGCUGCCGACGCAGCCCGGCGAAGCUCCAACCCCACGUCCUGCAGCCCUCGGUUCCAGGACUGGAGACUGGGAACGGCUGGCUGGGGGCUGAUCUUUUUGUCAGUUCCCUUGCACCCUUUCAGGCUGCCUAUGUCCAGAAGCAGUGGCCCUAGCGUUUAUAGCCAGACACACACACACACCCCUCCUCGCUUGACCUUUCUCCUCCCUCAGGACCCCAACCUUACUCUAACUCCCGAGGGAGCACCUUGGCUCGGUGGGCUUUCUAGAAGUACUUUGUUGAAACCAUAGAGGGAAGAAGAACCCCCCACAUCUGGACUCCAUCUCAUGGCGGGAGAGGGUAGUAAGGAAAAGUCAGACCCUGUUCUGGCUACAUUCCUGCUGCUUUAGGCCCUAUUCCUAUAUAUUGACUCCCCUAAAAGGAGGGGACACCUCCCACCCCCAGAACGCAUCAGACUGCUCUGAAGGAGACUCGUUGGAGGGCUGACAGUAAUGCCUUUUUUUUUUUCCUAUUGAAAACAGAAGCUACUGUAAUGCUUUCAAAUAUAUGCAAAUGAUACAUGCGGUUAGUGGUUUGGCAAAUCUUGAUUACAAUAUAAACUACCCAAGUAAAAGUGCCUUCGUCCUAAAUUUGUCCCUCGAUUACAAUUCCAAUUGAUUUUAUUUUAUUGUCAACAUUGUUAAUGAUAAAAAUAGAGUCGUUUUACAGUUAUUUUUACUUUCUGGAAGGAGGCAAUUAGAGUUCUAAUCAGGAAUACACAAAAAUCUCCCAUGAUUAACUGCAGUACUUUGUUCAAAUUGCUGCUAUAAAAUUCAGAACAAUUUGCCUGUAAUGAUUAUGGACUGGGUUUAUUUUGGGAGGUGGAAUAAAAGUGGAUAUAGCAUAAAUUAUCCUCUAAUUAUACACCAGUGUCGCCUCAAUUAUCCUCUUAUCAAAAUGGUUGUCUAACUGCCGCAUUUAGUUUCAAUUCUCUCCUUUUUUUCUAUAAAAAGAACUUCAUACCUUGUUAUUAUUAAUCCAUUUAUUAUUUGCAAGGGGGUUUAUAUCCGCACAUCCAGGUGGUAGAACCACUUCUGUUUCAAAGAUGGACUGAGGAAAGACAUUAAGUUUGGAGCAGCUCAGGGCUACGGAGCUAGCCUUUCUCCCUCGGGUCUCCAGAACGACUUAGGUCCAAGCUGCGGAGCAGGGACAGCGGAGCCCGGGCGGCCACGUCCAGGCCCAGCCACCAGCUGCUGAAAACCAGAAGGAGACCUACUCCCAGAAGAGCAUUUCGAUAUAUUAUUUUUCCACUGCUGUGAAGUCCCUUGGUUCCUGGACACCAUCUUCAAGAAGACUUCAUGGAUGGCCAUCCGGUCUUAUCAACUGGAAUUUCUGCUUUACUUUUCCUUCUUCACUCCAGAGAGGCUCUCGUCAGGGUCAGAUCAGAGAGGAACCAGCUGGACAACAGAUUGGAGCACUGACCUCUUAGAGUUCUGACAGUCAGCAAUGUGCUGUCCAAUCUAUAGAAAGAUAAAAAGAAGAAAACACACUACAGAAGGGAGAGGAAUGGUCUGAUAUUUCCUUCCAGGCUGAAAGCUAGAAACAAUGAAAAUAUAAGGAACGUGGACUCGUUUUACCGCAGGGCUUCUGCUGGGUCCCUGCUAGGAUGUGUAAUCUCGGUGUUCCUGCUGGAUGGUGACUCAGGAGAUACUAAGUAUUCUAGUGGUCCUCCUAGUCACCUCUUGUCCUUUAGCAAGAGACACCAACACAUUAGUCUCUUUAUUACUUCUUCGUAGGUCUGCACUCUUGACCUGGAAGAUAGUGACAUUGACUCUCUUCUAGGAUAAAGGUCAAUGAUGAGAGUAGUUCAAUACCCCUUGGACUUUUUGUUUCUAGGCUAGGUGGUGACAUCUUGAAUUGAGUUCAUUAGAUCAAUGGAGUCACAGGGUGGGACUGAACUCCUUAAAAAUAUUUGGCUGAAACAUGACAUUGCUACUUAUUUGUAGAAGAGGACAUUAUGGAAGAUGCUUGGAAUCAUGAAACACAGGACUACUGGUGAUAUAUGGUCAUUGUACCCACAACCAGCUAAGUACGUCAUAGACUUUGUAGAGCCUAGGAGCAGGUAGAUAUGGUUCCUUUCCACUCCAUGGUUCCAUUAUACUCUAAUGUUGCUGUAGGUGUGAAAAGCAGUGGUUAUCACACUCUUGUGGUCACGUCACAUAGUUCUUAAGCACAGGACUCUAGCUUGUGGGAGGAGUUACAUGGAGUCCUGACAGGUGGCUGUGUUCUCUGAGCCUACAUCUUCUAAGCACUCUGGGAACAUGGACUACUUUUCCCUAGCAGGCCUUAAAAAGACCUUGGUUGUCAGGGUUUGCAGGGCUUCUGGAGGGGAAAUAUAUCUAAUGAUUUGGACCAGAGAACAAAAAGGAAUGGGGUUCAGAAGCAGCUAUUGCUUCUUUUUGAGGUAGGAAGGUACAAUAUGAAAUAUGUUGGGCUGGGAAACUUUGACUUAGUCAUGCAUACACGUGUACAUGAACAAUACUAAAAAGCUAUGUGACUGUAGGCAAGCCAUUUCCCAUUCCCUACGGAUGUCUCUUGAGUAACUUUAAGCCCCUUCUAAAGUCUUAACAUCAGGCCCUAGGCUACUGUGGUAAGUUUCAAAAUAGCCUACCUGUAGUUGUUAGGUCAUAUAUUUUCAGCAGUUACAUAAACAUAUUUUUAGUUUUGAGGAAGUGUCUCUUUUAUCAACUUUUAAAGCACACAUGUAGUUCUUCUCUGGAGUUAAGAAGAUGCUAACUCUAAGUCUUCAUUCAUGCUGGUUUCCUUUCUUUCUGUCCUUUGCUUGCUCCCAUUACUAUUGAGUUUAUGGUAUACACUAAACAUCAGGUAAGUGUUAGGUUUGGAGAUACAUGAUAAGCCCAAGAGAGAGUCUCCCUUCUGGCAUUUUCUUUGGAGGGAGCCAGUUGUAUCCAGGCAGACUGUGGUUCCCUUGAGGUAACUACCUGCAGGCAGGUGCCUCAUUCUGCCUCAGCAAUUUUGUCCGGCACUAAGAUGCACAUUCAAUUAACCAUUCAGAUCCAGGGCUAACACAAAGAGAACUUACUCCAGGUAUAAAGAAAAGGUCUCUUCUGAGAUGUGUGUAAAGAAAGAAGGAUAACCCUCCUUCCUGGGAAAGACACUGAAUAUUCCCUGAAACCCGUCCUUGCCCCGGUAGAGAGAAUCUAAACUGAAAAACCACUGCUCAAUAAAGAGACAUAUUUUCUAUAUAGCAUAUUUCUCUGUAUCAUCCCUGUGGCUUGCCACUUCUUUAAAAAGGAACAGAAAAACACCAAUCAGACAAAAAUGUUGCCAUGGGCUCUGUCUGACCUCAUUGGAAAUCCUCUUAACAAUUGUCAUUUUUAUCUCUUUCGUUACCAAGAAAUCUAUUCAAUGCUUAUCUCUGAGUCCAGGAAUACUGUACAAUACAUAAAACAUAUAGUAUUUGCUUUGAGUAUUUUUAUUAUAGGGGAUGACUUUAGACAUUAGAAUUUAUGACUUACAUGGUAAAAUGAAUGACUCUUGACUUUUAAUUUUCCUUUUCAGUUCAGGCCAAAGAAUAGCUACCUCUAGGUAAUGUCUGCACUUCUCUAUGACUAAAGGCUCUAGCUGUCACUGUUCCCUUUCUUUUUUAAAUUUUUAACAGUUUUAAAAUUUUUCUUUAUUAUUAUUAUUAUUUAUUAUAAUUCAUUCACUUUAUCCCGCCUGUAGCCCCCUCUCUCAUCAUCCCUCCCUCUCCCCGCUCCAUCCAUGUCCCUCUCCUAGUCCCCUGAUAGGGGAGGUCCUCCUCCCCUGCUAUCUGACCCUAGCCUACCAGGUCUCAUAUGGACUGUCUGGAUCCUCUUUCUCUGUGACCUAGUAAGGACCCCUGGCCAGGGGAAAGUGAUCAAAGAGCCACUGCAUCCAUGCCAGAGACAGCCCCUGCUCCCCUUACUAGGGUAUCUACAUGGAGACUGAGAUGCCCAUGAGCUACAUCUGAACUGGGCUCUAGGUCUUCUCCAUGCAUGGUCCUUGGUUGAUAAAUCAGUCUCUGCAGGACACCCUGAGCCCAGUUUCUUUGGUUCUGUUGUUCUCCUUGUGGAGCUCUUAUGUAGGUAUAUAUUAGUAUUCAUUCUCUUCUUAUUGUAAUUGAAGGCAGUAUAAAAUUCAUGAGAUAAACUUUUUGGAAAGGAGUUUAAAGAAACAAAGGGCCGAGAUAAAACAAAUGAACAACAACUUUGAAAAUUAAAAAAUAGUAACAUAUAUAUAUAUACACAUACAUAUACAUAAAUGAGUAAAUGUCUAUUUUUCCCUGUUUUGUUUUUUCUUGUCUUACUGGUUUUCUUUCUUUUUUUCUUUCUGUUUUAAUUUGUUUCAAAUAUUUUAGGACAGCAUUCCUUCCUUUGUACAGAAGUAGAAUCAGUAAACACAUAUAAUUCUAACCACUCUAAGGCAAAGGAGAACCCUCUGUCAAGAAUUUUACACGUCCAAGUGUCUGCAUCCUAGCCUUGUGAAGGCAAUAUGAAUGCAUGAUGGACUGCUUGUUUUUCCUACCGCUCAUUGGAAUGAUCUCAUGUAUUGUACAUCCAGCCAUUGACCUCAAAGUAACUUACAUUUUCUUUAUCCCUCAAGAGAAAAGAAAAAUCUUAUUUUUUCCAAGCAAUUAAAACUCUCCUGCUUCAGGUAGGAGGAAAGAAUUAGGAGUCAUAUCUCCCUGAAUAUAAUUGCAAGUUUCAUCAUUUCUUGUUUUAAUGAUUGACAGAAAACUGAUAAACUGAGACAUCUCCUUAUUAGGAUUGAAUGUACUCUCUUGGUGGCCCCAUUGCUAAUUUGUUUGACUAUUUUGCACGAUUUCUUACUCUAUAAUGGAAAGGUUUAUUAAAUAUGAGGGUUGCAAAGCUUUCUGAAUACUAAUGAACUUAUUUGCCAAAAUUUAAAUGUUCUUCUUGUCAGUGAAUGCCUGUCUCACUUAACAGGAACUAAAUUGAAUAAUGAAGAAAAUUAGACUCUAUCGUACCCUCAGGAGAAAUUGUGUGUGAAUUGUAAGAGAAAAUUGAGGGAGAAAAGGGUCAUAUUUUAGAAAAAACAGUAGAUAAGUUGGAUUAUUUUUAAAAAGGAUGAACUCAGGGAAGCUCGGGUCUUUUCAAAGAAACACAUAUUCAGUCAAUUCAUUCAAAAUGUUGGCUUUCUCUUUACCCAAGAAGUCUAUACCUCUGGUCAGUUUAGGAAAGCUAAAUAGGUGGAAAAUACAUACAAGUACUUUAUAUGCCUGUGAUGGAAAGGGAAAAUCAAUAACCUUGAAAAAUGAGCACAUCUUUUUUCGGAGAAGUUCAAUAAAGAGAUAGAAUUUGGGCAAUUGCUGACACUCUUUUCAUAAGCAUGACGCAAUGAGUCUGUCUCCUCACUGCUGUGUUCAAUUCCACCAUCUUGGUGUUAUGGCUAAUGAAAUACAUGAUCAUGACGUCUUUCCAGGGACAUCAUGGGAACAAUAUGGAUGCCUUCUUUCUAGGGAAACAGGGUGGGAGAAAUUCAGGAGGCAUGCCAACAGCAAGGCAUGGUCAGGGUAAGACACAGGGUGUAUAAGGAGUAAAAUCAAGCAGCUAAGAGAAAGUGAACAAGAAUGGAAAGGUGACAAGGAACUAAGAUAGAAAAUUAGACUCCGCUCCUAAUGCAAACUUGAGAAAGAGAUCUGUUCACUGGAAAAAGACAAGGGAGUGAGGAUCUUGAGGCUGAUAAGGUAGUAAAGGGGAAAAUAAUGAAUGUCUCCAGUGUUAAAUGGAAGGAAGAUGAAGAAGGACAAGGCCCUCAAAAUUUGAGGAGUUUUUAAAACAUGAAAACUGGAAAGCUAAAUGUUGUUCCAACAAAACAAUGGACAACAAAAGAAAAUAUGAGUAAAGCAAGAUUUGUAUUUAGGGUUUGUUUUCAACCCAGAAGAGAAAAGGGCAAUGGGAGAAGCCUCUUUUGGACUCUGUGCUGGGCUUCAUCCCCAAAGGAGGAAAAAAAAUGGCCACUUUAUGUCAGAGCAAUACUCUUUUAUCUGAGGAUGUACUUUCUUUAUCGCCCCCAAUGAGAUUAAAAAAAGAAAGAAAAAAGACCUUGAUUUAUUCUGUGGGAAGGCUUUUGAGUUACAAAAAUCUAGAUUUUUCCCCCUUAAAAUGACAAUUAGAUUUCAACAAUUAACAGAAGGAGAGGAAGAGAUUUAUCUGUACCAUUUCAACUCCUAGCCUGCUUUGAUGGAAAUAAAGGAUUUAGCAAGGAGAGAGAGAGAGAGAGAGAGAGAGAGAGGCAGAGGAACAAGACAGUAAGGCUGCCCAGCAAGAUGGCUCAAUUUGUGAGAAAAUCAAACGAACAAUCAGGUUUGAAGGACGUGUGCAAUAAGAAGUAUGAAAUAAUAAGAUAUUUAGAAAGGGAAAAUUACUUGGGAAAGUGAGAGUGAAUGACGAGGUAUAUGGGAGAUGAUUAAGGAUUGGGGAAGGCAGAGGAGGGAGGAGAUAAUUGAAAUGGGAAGCAAAAUGUGACUAGGAGGCUGUAAAAGGGCAAGUUCAGACUCUGUGUGGCGACCCACCAGCCUCCAGGGAAGGUGCACAAGCUAGAAAUCAAGGUUCAAGCUAGAAAUAGUUCAUGGCUAACACAAAAGCUUGAGGACAACAGAAGAAGAAGUGUGUGUCAUUCUUUAAGGAAUGAAAGCACACUGAGCAAAAUGCAUUAGUCUGCAUUCUCCACUCAUUUGAGUAGAAUGGUCUUCGUUUCCCUUUGUAACAGGUUGGUUUUUAAAAUGAUUGCUAUUAAUGGGAAGAACAGGUGAGCAAUACCAGGGAAGUGAAGAAAAGAUGCAUGUAAUGCAUGUAAGCAAGACUCUUCACAGCCUUUCAUGUAAGAUUUCCAAAGAUUUCCCAUCUUUGGAAUGAGAGAUCAAUUAUCCAAAUAGAAGUGUAGGUAGUAAGGGCGGAGGAAGUUUAAACUGUUGUAAAUAUUUCAUAAUGUAUUUUCUACAGUGUCUCCUCUAUUAAGAUGGUUGCCACAAGUUAAAGAGCUUCUGGGUAUUAUCUGAACCACUUCCAUGAGAGGAUUUAUAGCAAUAUAAAGUAGUAGACACAAUAUUUAUUGAAAAAAGUUGAUGUUGGGAGCUGCUCUAAAUACCCAGGAUUUCCCCUUUUGCCUUCCUCUGCUUGCGCUUGGGAUUCCUUGCAAGCAGACAACACAGACCCCCUUCCGAGGGAAGCUGAUAAAGUAAUUUAGCUGGAAAGGCUUAAUGAGAUAAUGAUGCUAAGGCCAGUUAACACCUAAUGAGCACAUAACCACGAGGGAUGAUAUUGUUGCUUAUUAAUUAUAAUGAUGAUGUGGAGGAGAGAGACAAGGUGGCAUUCGGUUAGCAGAGAGUUCUCAGGAGUAUGGCUGACUCCCAGAGGCGAAGCUGCCCUCCGCUGGCUUUAGAACUAGGUCAACAUUUAGCUGAGUUUGAAAUUUAUGGCUGCUGGAUUAUACUGGCCACCACAGAGCUAGAGGCCAUGCAAAAUGUAGUUGGUGUUUUUCUGAUGUUGAGUCUUGUGUGAUUUCCAGGCCAUAGGUGGAGGCUGAGACUCCAGGUGGAGGUUUGGGGAAGUCUGCUUGGUGACAAUUCUGCAGUAUUCAUUCAUGGGCAGACAGGCAGGUGUCCAGAAUGAACUGGGCAUGCUUCCAGUUGAAUGACCUUCCCCUUCACCACUGAGUCGGGUGAGAGAGACAUAGAGCGUAGCUAUUCAAUUAUUUUUUUUAAUUGCUUUAGAGAAGGAGCCCAAAAUGUUUUCCUUCCUUCCUUCCUUCCUUCCUUCCUUCCUUCCUUCCUUCCUUCCUUCCUUCCUUCUUUCCUUUCUUUGGUCUGUCUAGCUUUCCUUCCUUUUUUUAUUUUUUUGGAGGUGCACUAUCUGCUGACUUAGAUUUAAGGGUUUUGGAUGUUAGUAAUUAACCCUGCGACACUGCUUUUUUUGCCAGGAUGGGGAAAUUGUAGCAUCAACACAUUGCAGACAGACUCAUCUGGAGUACUCAGAAGGCUAGGAGUAGAGAAGGCAGGUUGUAGGAGUGGCAGAGAGGCAGUUAUGGGAAAAUGUAGCAGGCAUUUGGAAAUCUUAAGACUCCUCCAGGAAGGCAAAAGAUCUGGAAACAGGGGUCCAGCUUGGAAAUGCUAAUUGGUGGUCUGGCAAGGUAACGGAAACUUACUUUCCUAUCUCUCUGUCUCUCCCCAAAAUGCAGGACUCUGGAUAAGUUCUGAGCCUAGGCUAUUGCUUACUCUUUGAGUCCACCUCUGCAGAGACAGAAUGCUUCUCUGCGCCUUCUAGUGUUGUUACUUGGUGGGUGAGGGCCAAGUCACAAGAUUUGAUUAGGUUAAUGUGAGAAUGUAUACAGAGUGCAGCAGUAGAAAGGGGCAUUAAUUUCAUUUUUAAAAUAUAUAUGUGGUUUGAAAGUGGCAAAAAGUGAAAAGUCUGGGAUUAGAAAGCAAGGAACAACUCUUGUUCUAACCUUCAUACCAGUUCUGUAACCUUGAGCAAGUUCCUUGAUCUUCUAGCUUUCCUCAUUUAUAAAAGAAGAGCUAUUGAGGAUAACCUUUAUACUUAUGAAGUUAUAUCCAGCUUUGUAAUUCUGUAUUUAAACACUUAUGUUUAUACGAAUUCCACGAGAUCAUUUAAGAGAGAAGCAAUUGAUCAUCUCUCUUGCCUUAAAUUUGUGUAGACAGUUAAGGCCAGAGUCACAAAUCAAUCAAAGGCAGAGCUUCUUCCUAAGCAGCAGUGAUGUGGCAGCCACAUGCCAACCUCAACUGCAGAUGCUUUUCAAGUGACAAUGCUUCUGAAAAGAUCAAAUUAGUCCUUUGAUAGUAUACAGUCAAUAAGAAGUAGAGCCAACAUUUGACUCCAGGUCUCCCUGACUGAAAGCUGUGUCUACCUCUCAUAGCUUAAAAGACAGGGUUUCAGCUAUUGAACAUGGAGAAGUCAAGCUGCUGCCUCCAUAAAGCCUUAAUCCCGAUGUGCUAGCAUCUUUUGUCCAAGAACGUACCUCUGUACACUACCAAAGAGAAAUGUAAACACUAGCCCAGCCAUGAGCCCUUUCAUCUAUGAUGGUGUCCCAUCUGCAAGAUAUGCUAGGCAAUGGUGGCACAAAGCUUGUAGGAGUAACCAGUGAACAACCGAUUUUAUUGUAAGGACUGCUCCAUGAAAUGUCUAGAUCCGACACUGCUUGUGACCAAGAAUCUGAGACUAGAUAGCUCAGGGAUCUAGGGUAAAACUUAAUACAACUGUUUAGAAAAGAAAAAAAAAGUAGCAAUAAAAUGACUCCUAAUAACAUUUUGUUAUACUCAUAGAUCAGUUUCUUGCUCAGCCAUCAUCAGAGAAGCUUCUUCCUGAAGCAGAUGGGAACAAGUGUAGAGACCCACAGCCAGGCAUUAUGCAGAGAGUGAGGGACCUUGAAAGAGCCCUAAAUAAGGUGUCUCCAUCAAAUACUUCCCCUCAAGGCGUAGGAAACACCACAGAAGAGGCAGGAAGAGCGCAAGGGGUAGAGGGGAUGGAGGACACCAAGGAAACAAUGCCCUCUAAGUGGACAUGAGCAAAGCUCAUAUGAACUUCCAGAAACCAAGGCAGCAAGCACAGGGCCUCUCUCUGUAUCCGAUCCUCUGCAUAUAUUAUGACUUCCAGUUUAGUGUUUUCAUGGGAUACCUGAGUGUGCGAAUGAGUGGGUCUCUGACUCUUGUGCCUUUUCUUGGGCUCUUUUCCUUCUGUUUGUUUUUUCCAAGUCCAAUGUGUUAGCUUUCAUCUUAUUAUAUUUUAUUAUAAUUCCUUAGGAGCCUGUUUUCCAAUGAGAGACAGAAAGAGGGUGGAUCUUGAUGCAAAUGCGGAGGAACUGGGAGGAGCAGAGGGAGGGGAAACUAUAAUGAGGAUAUAUUAUGUAACAAAAUAUUUUCAAUAACAGGCAAAAAAGUAAGAAAAGCAAAAGUACAACACAAACAAACAAACAACAACAACAAAACCACAAUGCUCACUUCUCAUAACUUAUGGAACAAGCCAUUGAGCUUUUUGGCAGCCUUAAAAGUUCUCAGUUAGGAAGGGAGGUCGGUAGGUGCACGGCAGAGAGUUAGGAAAGACUGUUGAUUCUCAUAUAAACAUCUCUUUUAUUCCAGCAUCUCUGAGCUAUCACUUGACCAGUCACAGCAACAAGAUUUACAUAAAGAGCACCACGCUUGCAACCCAUUCUGCAUGUUUAUCCUUACGUUCCUGUUUCUUCCAGCAUGUUGAGGAAGAGGCACCGGACACAAGUAUUUCUCUUGGGAGAUUGAAGCAUGAUAUAACUCCACUCACCUACCCACUGGUCACAGACUGGCAUCCUUCCACAUCCCCAGACUCUAAUUGGCUGCAUAUGGUGGUGCACACCUGAUAUCCUGGCACUUAUGAGGCUUAGGUAGGGGAGUCACAUGUUGGAGUUCUGACUGGGCUAUGUGGAGAGAACCUGCCUCAAAACAAAGCAACAGCAACAACCCCUGCCCCCACCCUGUGAAAAAGAUUCCACAUACCAAAGAUGCCUGUUUUGUCAUUUUAGCUAAUAAUUUAUUUUACAUAAAAGGAACUAUGUCUUCUGAUUUUUCCUGGCAAAUAAAUUAUUUCAAUAAUUUUAAUUGGACUGCAAUUUAUAUAAUAUAACCUAACCCUCUAAAUAAUAUCAAUACAAUAGCCAUCACCACACAGAGGAACAUGGUUUCUUAGCUAGGCACGCUUGUUAACAAAAAAUGACCAUCUAGGCCAGGGCUUCUUAAUUUUUUUUAUUUUUUUUCAUUCAUGGUCCCUUUCCCUUAAGAAAUUUUUGUAUGGUUCCAUGUAUGUAAAAUAAUUAUAUAAAUCAAACAUUUAAUCAUAGUAAAUCAUUAAGAAAUAUGUUUAAAAAUAAUUCUUUUUCCAACCAAGGACUAUUCAUGGAGAUAACCUAGAACCCCUGCACAGAUGUAGCCCAUGGCAGUUCAGUGCCCAAGUGGGUUCCAUAGUAAUGGGAAGAGGGACUGCCUCUGACAUAAUCUGAUAGGCCUGCUCUUUGAUCACCUCCUCCUGAGGGGGGAGCAGCCUUACCAGGCCACAGAGGAUGACAAUGCAGCCACUCCGGAUAUGAUCUGAUAGACUAAGAUCAGAAGGAAGAAGAGGACCUCCCCUAUCAGUGGACUUGGGGAGGGGCAUGCCUGAAGAAGGAGGAGGGAGGAUGGGAUCGGGAUGGGAGGAGGGAGGGGCUUAUAGGGGGAUACAAAGUGAAUAAAGUGUAAUUAAUAAAAAAAUAAAAUAAUUAAAAAAUAAUUCUUUUAUACAAAAAUAAUCCUAUAUAUUAAAGAUAAAACAAAUCUGCAUACUAAAGAAAUGCAGGUACUUGCACAUUGUGACAGAAAGAAUUGAAUUUUGGUAGAAUAUUUGAUAUUGCACGUCAUGGAACAUCUUAAACAUCCUGCAGAGUUAUUAUUUUCAUUUUAUAACCAUCAAUGGUGAGACUACUACUUCAUAUAAAAAUUUACAAAACGGCAGGAACAUAGUUAGGGUCAUUUCAGAGAUUGCUGGCAAUUCUGUCUUAAUCUCAAGCCAGAAUUCAUUCAAUAAAUUAGAAAAAUAAAAGCAAGUCCGUAAAUAAGUUAGAAAAUUUAAAAACCAAACAUCUGAAUCCAGUCCAAUCCAAAAAAAAAAAUACACUAAUUUGGUAGCUACGUGUUAGAAAUAAUGACAAUAUGAAAAGUCGAUGUUCUCCAUCAUUAAACCAUUGUGUCUUUAAAGGAGCAGAAAACAUGGUAUAGACAAUAAAAGCAUUAUGAUACACGGAACAGAGGAUUCUUGGGUCAGAGUUUGCUGCUGUUGCAUACAACAUGUGCAGUGUGAAAUGUGCAUAGUCUGAGCUCUUAGAACCAAAGGAUGCAACUCAAGGCGAGCAUGGCCAGAAACACCUCAGACUUACGCACUUGAAUUUAAAUUAACCAUUGGUUACUGCACAUCCAGAAAUCCUUCACUACUGCUGCAUUUUUUUUUUAAUUUUUUUUUUUUUUUUGCGAUCCUUAUAUUCAGGUACAUGACCCACAUGUGGAUGUGAAUGUCCAUGUAAAAAGGCUGGGUUUUAAAAUAUUUAUUGGCUGAUUUAAGAAUGAUGUUGCAUCAAGGUUAAUUUAGAGGUGUAACGCAUCAAAACAAAGAGGCUCCUCCUCAGUGCGCCUGGUUUGAAAGUAACAAGGACAGCCAGUUCCUUUUUGACAAGAACAUUGGCACCUAGGAUUUUAAAUUGUCCUUCAAAUACUUACCCUCAACAUCUCCUAGGCAAAGCUCUAGCUUCAGAAUUUAUUAUUUUAUUUAUUGGUUUGCAGUGCUCAAGACUGAACCUAUGGCUUUCUGUGUGCUAUGCAAGGACUCUAUUCUUCUACCUCGAUUCUAAACUUAGUCUCAAUGCAUAUUUUUUGUUUUUACAUUUUCAAAUGCCUUUGUUUCUAACCCUCUUUAGUUUCCAUUGAUUCUCUCCCUCCCUCCCUCUCUCUCUCUCUCUUUCUCUUUAUUGAGUAAAUACUAAUUUUAAUCAAUGUAUUUAGCUAAGUGUGAAAAAUUAAAAAUACUCAAGUAUGGACUUUGAUUAAAUAAAAAUACAAUAGAAUACUGUGUUGCCAUUUACAGGAAUGAAGUAGUUUUCUAUACGGGAUCUCUUUCAAGGCCCAUAACUGACAUUUAAUAGGCAAGGUAUAGAACAGAAUGUGUGGUGUGCUGCUUUCUGUAUAUGUUCAUACAUAGGUGUUCUCGGUAUGCUUCUAAGCAUUGUGUGAUUGUGGAAAGGCAUUCAAGGAAGUGCUAAUAGUGCUUGUCUCUGGGGAGAAAUUGGCUGGGAGAUUGGAAGACUAUACUGUUGUCCUAUUAUAUAGUGUAUCAUGUUCAUGUAUUAUCUAUUCAUACUUUUGUAAGGCAGAAAGCAGAGCUAUUUUUUACUGAGAUGGAAAAGCACAAAAGAGAUAUUGUUAUGUAUAAAGAGCAAAUUCCUGUUGUGUAUCAAGAGCAAAUUACAGAACAGUGUAAAUAGUAUAUAUGAUCCGGCUUUUGUAAAGUAAUGAUAAGUAUUUAGAUACAUAUUCGUAUGGUGUACAUAUACAUAUUUAAGAAUGUGUACCAACGUGUUAAUAGUGGUACACUCAGGGGAGAAGGAAAAUGUGUGUUCAUGCAUAGUCCUUCAUGUUUUAUCCUAUGCGCUCCUGUUCAUACCAAGCAUACCACCCAUCAAUGUAUAAUAAGGAAUUCAUAAAACAUUAAUCAAACUGGACAUUAAACAAAAUUUUCCAGACAGUUUUGUUUUUGUUUUUGUUUUUUUAGCUCAGCCAUGCAUUUUGUAUCUCGUAGACUCAAUUCUGAUCUCUCCUUCAAUGUCCUCUUUGAAGCUUCCUGAAUCUCUUGUCCCUAUUCUCACUCUUUCUGUUUCAGAUCAUCAACAGGGCUUAGCUAAGGUUGUGACUAAGAAAUCAUGCUAAUGCUGCUGUGGAUUGUCUGUCAACCACUCUCUUUUUAGGUCAAAUUAACUAAUUGUUUCGGAGACAAGAUUUCAUGUUAUCCCAGGUGGACCUGGAGCUGGUUUUGUAGUUGAGAAUGGACUUGAACUCCUGAUCCUUCUUCACCUACCUCCCAAAUGCUGGGAUUACAAGUGUGAAGCACAAUUCCUGGUUUAUGCAGUACAAGGGAUGGAACCAGGGCUUCACGCUCACUAAGUGAGCACUCUACAACUGAGCUGCUUCCCCAGACACAUCCAUUUUCUUUGUAAUUAAUCCAGCUCCUUUGCUUUCCUUGUCUCUUGAACUCCACCUACCUUACAAUGGUUUAUUUCUUUACCUUGUUGUGUUGGAUUGCUCAUGGCUUUGUUCUUGGAGACAUCUGCUUUCUUUUGUCUUUUCCUUCCUUCCUCUUUCCCUCCCUCCCUUCUUUCCUUCCUUUGGUUUUUCAAGAUAGGGUUUUUCUAUGUAGCCUUGGCUCUCCUGGGCUCCCUAUGUAGACCAGGCUGGCUUAAGACUCUCAGAGAUACACCUGCCUCUGCUUCCCUGAGUGCUGAGAUUAAAGGCUUGCACCACGACACCUGGUUCUGUUUUCUUUCUUUAAACUCAUUUGUUACUGAUAUUAUAUAGCCCUUCAUUUUGAAUAGCAUCGCCUUGCUGAAAUCUGAUCAAACUCCAGCCUGUGCCUAGACUUACGAAUUCAUUGUCUUUUCAACUCCACUAUGUAGCUUUGAAAUAGCCAUCUCAAGCCUGCCAAGUCCAAACCAAGUAGACCUACCCAUCUCUUCUGAUCCUCUACUGGCUGAUAAAUGACAAAUCCACUAGAGUUCUCCUUUCUAAAUAUAUUCUGGAUCUGAUUUAAAAAAGAAUCUCUUUUAUAGAAGCUUUAGUCAACAUCUGUACCAACCACCUAACUUAGAAAAUAGACUCUUGUCUACCUUUGCUCCUUAAAUCUUUGCUUGUGUUUUGAAUAUUUACAGCACAGAAUAUCACUACUUUGUACCUUCCUUGAGAAUCAUAUCUGGAGCAUGAGGCUCUCUCAUUUGGCUCCUUUACCCUGCUUUAUUUUCAGCAUCACCUGAUAUCCCAUUUAUGGAUCCAACUAGUAUUUGCUUAUUAUUUAUCUGCCCCAGAAUACACAAACAGAUAUUUUGUCUCACCUAAUACUACAUCUCUGACAUUCAGAAGAAAAAGAUUGUAAUAGAGUAGUUUAAAAGAAUUUAUUGAGUUUUCAAAAGAGAUAGCAAGAGGUUUUCUUCAGCUUAAUUGAGUUACAUGAAAUUGGUCUUAAGAUUUUAUUGAAGCAGAGGCUGAGACUUAUAUCCAGACUUUGGGCAGAGUGCAGGGAAUCUUAUGGAAGAAGGGGGAGCUAGAAAGACCAGGAAGGGACAGGAGUUCCACAAGAAGACCAACAGAGCCAAAAAUCUGGGCUUAGAUGUCCUACAGAAACUGAUGCACCAACCAAGGACCAUUCAUGGAGAGGACCUAGACCCCCUGCUCAGAUGUAGCCCAUAGGCAGCUCAGUCUCCAUAUGGAUCACCUAGUAAGGGGAGCAGGGCUGUCUCUGACAUGGACUCAGUGGCUGGCUCUUUGAUCACCUCCCCCUGUCUGGGGGUGGAGCAAGCUACAGAGGAAGAGGAUCCAGACAGUUCUGAUGAGGCUUGAUAGACUAGGGUCAAAGAGUAGAGGAGGAAGACCUCCCCUAUCAGUGUACUAGGGGAGGAGCCUAAGGCAAGAAGAGGGAGGGAAGGUGGGACUGAGAGGAGUGAAGGGAGAGGCUACAUCUGGGAUACAAAGUGAAUAAAUUACAAUAAAUAAUAAAUUAAAAUAAUAAAUAAAAAAGGCUAUUUCUCCAUUACAAUUUUCUUCUGUCUUUAGGUAAACAAAAAACUCACAAGUAUUUACAAAAGUAGUACAGAUAACUCAUUUACUCUUCAUCUGUUGUUUCCCAAAGUGAAUUGUUCUUUUAAUAUUUUAAGUUCUUGUUUCAUUAGUUGUUUAUGGCUUUUUACAUAGAUUUCCAGGAUCUCUUCACUCCACUCUCAAAAACCUAGGAACUCACACUUACACCAGACAAGCUCUGUGCCUUGGAGUGCCUCUCGACCCAAUUUCAAUUCUUAUUUCCGUGGCGGGUUUUAUUUUACACCAGAUUCAAAUUCCUUUGCCAAGAUUAUGUAUUAUGCAAGGAUGGGAAAGAAUAUUUUAAUGAAAUGGGAAAGUAGAUUUAACCCGUUUUUUGUUAUUGUUGUUGCUGCUUGUGUUUCUCUGUGUAGCCUUGGCUGUCCUGGACUCACUCUGUAGACUAAGCUGGCCUCGAAAUCUGCCUGCUUCUACCUCCUUGAGUACUGAGAUUAUAGGUGUGCACCACCGAGCCCAGCUAACCCAAAUUUUUAAUACAAAGAAAGAAAAGAAAUAGAAGGCUUCCAUCUUUUAAGCUCACUGUUCUACAGAGAGAUGUACUCUCCUGUGGAUUUUGUAUACCUAGCCUGCUUGCUGUGCUUGAUAGAGAAGGACAAUUUUUAGGCUCUCCUGACAUUUAUCUCUUCUUGGAAGAGUUGAUUACAAACAAAUCUAUGUUGUUGUUGUUUUUUAAAUGCAUGUUCACAUUUCUUUUUAAUCAUCUAUUUUGGGCUUACAGCAGUCUCUUAUCUGCCAAGUGGAUUUGGAAUGAAUGUCAUCUUUAAAUUAUCGCAAGUCCCGAAAGACCGAAAAACUCCCCUCUUCCAGAUAAGUCAGGUACACUUCAUUAAACCGGCAUUCAUAGUCAGAUGAUAAUCAUUGAAUAACUGGUUUGUAUUAUUAAAAAAUGAAAAAGAGACAGUGCCCCUUACAACAUGACUGAGAUAACUCUCAGUUUGCAACGACAGGGCGGGGUCACGGAGAUGGCUCAGCAGGAGCUGCCAUUCACUUGGAAUUCUUCUCCCUCAUCUAUGCCAUAAUUAGAUUUUUUGAUCUUUUCAUGGUGUCCCAUAUUUCCUGGAUGCUCCAUUCUUGAAAUUUUAUUUUAUUUUAUUUUAUUUUAUUUUAUUUUAUUUUAUUUUAUUUUAUUUUAUUUUAUUUUAUUUUAUUUUAUUUUAUAUUCCUUGCUUCCUUGUCCAGAGCCCCUAGCCUUGGUGUCCUAUCUUCUACAUGGUUCAUUCUCCUUGGAAGGCUUUUCUUCAAGCUGUCUGUUGGGUUAGUGGGAUUUUCAAUACUAUUUUGAUUUCAGCUUGAGUUCUUUUCCAUCUUUUGAUUUAUUGAACUCUGCUUUCAAAUCCUGGAUCAUCUCUGUCAUCCGUAUGUGUGUAUUUUCUUUGGCUUCACAUAGGCAUUUUUUUUUCUUUACCUUCUUUCUCCUUAAGUUCAUUGAGCUUCUUCUUUGUGUCUUCUUUAGCUUCCUUGAGUUCUCUGAUAAAGGUUAUGAUUAUUCUUUUAAAUUCUGUGAGUUGGGAAUCGUCUAGGUAAUUAUCACUGUCAAAUAUUUCUAAAUUGUAGGAGAGAUGCUGGCUUGAUUUUUCAUAUUGUCUGUGUUUUUGUGAUGAGAUCUGGGCAUGCAGACUUCUUGUGUUAGUUCAGUGUCUGAUACAGACACUGUGAAUUGGGGUAGAAGGGGGCUUGCGGGCAGGCGAGGCCAAGAGGCUGGAAAUAGCUUCGGUGGGAUGAAGUCAGGCAGACACAGGAAAAUAGGCUCAUGUGCACCCUGAUCCAACUAUCAGUAGACAAAGAUAUGGGAGUUUGAAAGGAAACAUGGAAGGGAGGAUCCACAGAGUCACCAGGCUAGACCCUGGAGAAGGAUGUGCAAGAUAUGGCUGGGUAGAGAGGUUGGUUGUAGAGAUGGCUCAGUAGGUUAGGAUAUAAAGGCGCUUGCUGCCCAGUUUGUAAACCUGAGUUCAAUUUCCAGAAGCCACACGGUAGAAGGAGAGAAAUGACUUCACCUAGUUUUCCUUGAUCUCUGAGCAUGCGUCAUUGCUUUUGUGUACCCAAACUCAUAAUUCCCAUACUAUGUACAAACACACACAUAAAUAGCAUAUGUAUGCCAAACUUAUAAUACUCAUAUCAUGCACAAAGACAAACAUAUAACAAAUCGAUGUUCAAAAAGGUGGGUUUUUUUUUUUAAAGGUAAGACUUACAGAUUUAAUAAUCAGUUAACAGAAGACAUGACUGGGACAUCACUAAUCACUAUAGUUAAAAAUUAAUGUGUAUUAAGCUUCUCAUAAAAGCCCAUUCACACAUGAUAAACAUUAAUUAGAUAACUGUCUGCCACAAUCUCAUCUACAGCAUUAACAAGGUGGACACUUGUCAUUUGUUUAAACUGUUCCUACCUGUUGUUCCAGCAAAAUUGUUAAUUGCAGCCCCCUUUCUUCCUCUACAGAAUCUUGGCUUGGACAAUAAAUUAUAUGGUCAAUUCAAGUAUUAGGGUCUCUGUGAUGAAUGAUCAAGGCACCAUUCCUAUUUAUUGGUAUUACCUUGUCACAAGCUGUGAAAACACUUUCCUUUUUGAUUGUUUCUUCCUGACUUGUCACAAAGACCUUCACAUAAAAUCACUCUCUCCCAUUAAAGUAAUUAUUGAGACCUUUUCAGUAAUGACCACUUGUUUUAGCUUGCCUCUUGAGACACCAAACACCAAAUGCAGAGAUUGCUUUUGCAGGGUCAAGAUCAAAUUUUUCAGAGACACGAGCCUUCUACAGGGGAAAUAUUGUCUCUUUAGUCCACAAAAACCUGAAAAAGACAUUUCUCCAUAGAAACAUUAUUUUGUAGAAAAAGGCUCAGAUUUCCUGCUGACUUGUUUCUUUGAGAUUCCCACCCCCACCCCAAAACCCUGAAAUUUUUCCCUCCUCUGAGAUUUCUUCUUCUUCCUUCUCCUUCUCUUUCUUUUCUUUUAUUCCUCCUCCUCCUUCUCCUCCUCUUCCUUUUCACGCUUCCUCUUUUCUUCUGUCGAGUUUUAGCUCAGAGAAUGGAACACUCAAUGCAGUGUACAUGGCUUCAUUGAGUUUCAUGUAUUCUGAACUGAGAUCCUUAAUGUCUCUGGAAUUGCUCCUGGGGUAUGAGUAACUGAAAAGAAUCUGGGUGGCCUCCUGGCCUCCUCAAAGAUAAUCUCAGUUAAAACUAGUUAAUCUCUUUGAUUCACAAGAAAGGAUGCUCUGGAGGGCCUGAGUAGACCAAGGCUGCUGAAGCUGCAGGUUUCUGCAGCUGCCUUCUUGGCUGAUGAAGUAGCAGUAUGAACACUGAUUAAUUAUUACAUCUUGGAAAGUCAGUCAUAACUUUUCUUCAUCAAAGCUUUGUCCUUACAGUACUAAAAGAAAAACAAUUAAUGUAAAAAAAGUUUUUCAAAAUGUGGAAUUAUGGAGACAAAACAAAUUGUGAAAAGACAAAAAUAAAACUAGUUUCCUCCCCCCUGGGGGACAUUGAAUGUUUUUACUGUCAAUUGUUUUGCUGUUUUGUAACUCACUGGCUAACUAUGGAAAUUUCUGCUGAUUUAUGUCUUGGCAAAAACAGUUUCUGUGAGAAAAAGUAUUUUUUUUUGUAUUUAAGAUGACAGAUACGAAAUGUCUUUAUCAUUUUGUUUGUGCCGUGUUUGAAAAAUUGAAUUGACAGAGA